GGCGAGUCUUUUCGGGGCGGAGCUCGACCGCCAACACAAGAGAUAGUCGCCUUCAUCGACGCCCAGCGCGAGGAGUUCGGGGUCGAGCCCAUCAUCACCGUCCUGCGAUCAGCAGGCGUGGUGAUGGGCCCCG
rfam:Mycobacterium rhodesiae JS60 ctg135, whole genome shotgun sequence.